rnacentral:lncRNA from 1 species
AAAUCACGAUCUACAACGAGAGAAGAGAGAAAUUACUGAGCUCUAGGCUGAAAUUCAUUUACACCAGAGCCUGAUAACGAGCCCUAACUCGAGACACGAAACGAUCUGGCGAUGAAAGCGAAGGUCAACUGAUGAGAUAAUACGCCGUCACUGGAGAACCUAAUCGAGGAAAGUUUCUAGAAAUUCGCGGCGCUGAUCUUAAAUUCGGGAAGGCGGGAGAGGAUAACAGACGUCGAUGAUCGGAACCCUAAUUUGGGAAGGCAUUGUGUUGGAUCUGUGAUUGGGAGGUGAAGAAUCUGAGGGCGAAGAAGCGCAGCAGCGAAAUGUGAAUGUUGUUUUUAAUCCAUGGAGAUAUGGUUUUUCCCAUUUUCUUUUUUUCUUUUUUAAUUAUUAUUUUACUAAAAACAAUAGUUUCCCUAAAUAAAAAUAAAAACUAUGUAUAUAUUAUAUUCUUUUUCAUUUCUGUUGUUGUAAAAGUAUAUAUAUAUUAUAUUCAUUUUCUUUACUAUAUGCAAGUACCAACAAUAACAUUAUAUUCUUUUUCAUUUUUUGGUUGUAAAAGUAUCUAAAAUUAUUCAAAAAAUCCCUACUCUUGUGUUAUAUAGCAUCCAAUAAAUUUUUUUUUUUUUUUGGUAAAAGCAUCCAAUAAAUUUGAUAUGAAUAAGUUGUGUUUACUUGUUUCUUUGAAUAAUUUGAGAUAUUGAUGACAUGUUUCUAAUCUUCAUUUACAUCAGUCAAUUAUAUUACUUCUAUUUAAGGUCAAACAGUUGAUCAAAUUAACCUUCUGUUUUUUUAAAAAAAAAUUGAACUAUUAUUUUGUCUUCGUCUUUUUCAGUUCAUUGUGCAUGGUAACUUAAAAGAAAAUGAAUCAUUACAGCCUACACCAAGCUACUGUCGGGUUAACAUCUAUAUAUAUAAGGAGAAAGUAGUCGUAAUGUCAUAAGAGGAUUGCAACAUUUGAGGGAGAAGGGACUCCAUGUUCAGACAUAAACGUGUUACCAUCGUCCAGUACACACACUUCUCAGAAGACCCGUCGUAUCCAUGACCAUAUAAUUUUAGCUGCAUCAGGUUGCGUAUAUCAGUGAACAAACUAUGACUACACUUGUUACCUUCUUUUUUUGCUACGAAACAUUUGUUAUUUGACAAGCUUGGACUUCAACUCAUGCAAUUUACAUAAUAGUCUAAUAACAUAUGGUCUGGCUAUUUCCGACAAUAAACUCAGGUUAGAUGGUGUGUUAUCUAUUCUAUUUAUUUUCACUGGCCGGAUCAGUCGAUAGGAUAUAUAACGAAACUAUAACUACAUUUUCCAGAAGACUAUAAAAGCUAUAUACAGCAUAAUCCAAAAUAUGUUCUGGUUGUUUGUUAGGUUGGUAAAGCCACAGCUUCUAGAUUCACUUGCAAGCAGUGGCGGAGGGGGGCAUCUGCCCCCAACUCAUUCCGAAAAUCCUAUGUAAAGCAUUGACUAAUUUUAAAUAUCCCCUUCUGUUUUAACAAAUAUGACCUUAGUUUUAUGAACAGUUUUAAUUAUGCCCCCUACAAACUUUUUCUUUAGCUCCGCCCCUGCUUGCAAGUUGUAAGCACUAUAAACACAUAGAUACUUUGAUUGACACAAACUAUUUUAAUUAUCUAAUACGAGACGGUUAGGUCAAAGGCCGCGCAAGGCUUAAAUAAAAUAAAGAUGGGCGAUAUAUAUGUAUAGCAUAGGUAAGUAAGAGUAGGUCAACAUCAUUCAAGGUCAAAAAUGAUAAAACCAAUCAGUGGUGAAAUCUCAACUGGUCCUAUAUGAUGAUUCAAGGUUAGAGUUUAUAAAUGGUCUCUACAAUCUACAUGACGCUUCGCAGGUGUUAGAGGCAAUCUAUGGACCCAAACUUUCUAAUCUUAUUUAUCUUUCACUUUUUGUUAGUAACCUAGUUUUGAAAAUCGUCAUAAUAUUUAAUUACCUAAUAUAUACAAUGCAGACAAUCGUUGAAUCCAGCAUAUAUAUAUCUGAAGCUUUUUACUUUGAAGGAAAUAAUUCUAAAGAAGUUGGGUCCGAAUUUAUAUGUUUAUACGAAGAAAAUCCGAAUUUAGAGAGGAACGGCCGAUGAGAAAACAAUAUAAAGAGGUGUUUUUUUUGGGUCUAAAACGGAAGCUUUGAUUAGAAAGGAUCAGUUACUCAGUUGCAGGUACAAAAGAGAGAAAAAAAUACAGUGCUGAUUUUGCCAAAGAAUCAGCGGUGGAGUUUGCUAAACGCGGAAUAAAAUUAAAUGAGAUAGCUUCGAAGGAGUUUGCCAAGAUUCUGAUAUCAUGGAGAAUUCCCUUCAAGACAACAUCGCUUUCCUGAGAUUUCAGGAGUAGAACGAGCGCCUUAGAGUCUGAAAAUACAUUGAGACAUCUAACUCGUGUAGAGACCAAAGUUGCCUAUGGAUGAAUAACAUCAUCUUUAUUGCUAUUUUUUCGUCCACUUGAAAUAGAGGUGAGGCCACGACAUUACUUGAUUUAUGCAUCUGCCUUUACAUUACUUGAUUUAUGCAGCUGCCUUUAUCUUGGUUGUACUAGAAUAGAUAUGAUGUUGCAUUAAACUCGGUUGUACUAGAAUAGAUAUGCAGCUACAGUUACAGUCAUUGUACAAAAGUAUUUUUUCUUUGAAUAAAUUUAACAUUCAUUCAAAAAAAAAAAAAGAAUCAAAAGGAAAACCUAAUCUCGUAUAUGUUUCUACAUAGUCCCCAAGCUCUGAAAUAUCUUUUACGAAUUAGUUGUUUUCUUACUACCUUUUUCUAUUAGGUAGUUGUUUUCUUACUACCUAAUAGUAAAUAAAUCAAAGAGACAAAAGAUGAUAUCAAAUAGAUCUUUUCUUUUUCUCGAAGAAGUUUUGACAUACCUGCAUCUAAUUCUUGAUGGGUAUCAAGUGCAUCAACUUUAAAAAAAUCAAUAGCUGAAUGUAAAAUCAUCAUACUAAGUUAUUAUAUUCUUUUAUGUCCAUGCUGCAAUGGUUGUAUGCAAAUCAUCAUAAUAAGCUUUUAUAUUUCACAUGGACUUGUCCUCUUCAUCUUUCUUUCUGUCUUCUCAAUGGGCACAUCAGAUGUGGUGUGUACUUGUGGAUACCUUAAAAUAUUCGCGCUCAUGGUUCCCAAGGCAACCCUGCCUGCCUGUGCAGGAGCUCAAUGCCGCGAUUCCAUGGUUUGAGCCAGUGGAAGCCAACAUGUAUCCCAGAAUCAUUAAGUACUUGGAUGUCAGAUAUAGCAUUGUUAAGGUUUUAGUACAUAGCAAUGGUGUAUUACCACAUUGGUAUACUAAUGGUUUAAAUGUACUAAGGAAUGUUACUAUCUUCGUAUGGUCAUUGCUAAAUAAAGAUCUUGAUGUUUGUGAUAUCAGCUUUUGUCUCUUCGAACUAAUCUCUUAUAUAUGUUAAAUGUUCAAUUUUAGUUGAUUAGAGCAAGAACAUAACAUAGUUGAGAAGUGGUCCCAAGAAAACUCUACAUAAACUAUUGGCUGCAUCUUUCUUUGAUGAAAUUUUUCUAAAUUUCUUUUUCUUAUUUGAUGAUUUAAAAUCACCCGAUUUGCAGAUAACCAUAAAGCGAGCAUGUCAUAAGAUAUACAAAUCUUGAAAAAAAUUAUAUAUAAUUUUAGGUUUAGUGUACCCAUGAGGUGGUGGUCCUUAAAAUCUUGGGGUCAUUUUUUUUGAAUUCUGGACCUAAUACCCUCUCUACGCAAACCCUAGACCGUUUUGACUAUUCAGCUUUGCGACAAACAAAACAAGCCCAUCUCCCGAAUGGUUGUGCUAGGUUUGAUUGGCUGUUUUUUUCUUUGGCAAAGAAAAAAAUAUUGACUUGAACUAAAAAAAAUUUUUUUGGUGCUUUGCCCAUUAAUAUGAACUAAUUACGUUCUGACUUCACCAGAACUCACCAAGAAUCCCAUUUCUAAUAAGAACUCAUUUAAAUGGUUAUGUUUUAAUCCUCCUUUAUCUUGGUUUACAUUAGCCUCAGGCUCAAACAGCAUAUGGGGAUGAACAUUAUCAUAGAUCAAGCCACUGAAUAAGACAGUACAUCGAUCUAUGCAUUGUGAUAUAUACACAUAAAACUCUUCCCUUUUUCCUAUUUAUUUUCAUGGAUGCAUCCUUAGAUCGAUCUUUGGGGUGAGACGCAUUAUAAACCUCUUAUUUUCUUACUAACUUACUACUUUUCAUACCUAAGAUUUAUAAAAAAGAAUAUCAUCUUGCUAGCUUGAGCCUUGUUUCUGCUGUCUUUCUCACCUCUCCACUGGUUCAAUAUUUUCUUUGAAGAAGAAAUCUCAUAGCUUUAUUUAUGUGUAGAAAAUUACAUUUAUAAAGCAAAUGUAAACAUAUACAAUGUAAUAAAGAUUCAGCAUUAACAUUAUAUAAUCCUCUUAUUCUUCUCUCUACAGAUCUUUCUUGGCUUAAUAGUACAUGAUUCAGGUCACAUAGAUUUAUCUCAACGAGCCGAAGAGCUGCUUCCUUUCUCCAAAACUCUACUAUAACCACUUGUGAUGUUUAGUUCUCUCUCAUUUCCACUAUCGUUGCUGCUUUUGUUGUUUUCAGCUCUUUCUCGCUCGGCCUCACGGUACUUGUGAAGAUACCUCCCCACGGCGUCAGCAUAGUUAUCGAGGCCUAGAGUACUUAGAGCCCACCAGAUGUCGUCUCCAUUCACCGUCUUUCGAUUCUCCCUGUGGCACUUGUCUGAGGCUUCGCAGGUAACAAAGCUGAUGAACUCUGUUGCACACUCUUGAACUGUUUGUUUUGCUUCUUUUGAGAUCUUUGCAUUUGAUGGUAGGAUCUGCUUCAUAAGUCUCCCUACAUUGGCUAUUGGUAGCAAUCUAUCUUCAUCGGCCAUUUUUUUCUCUUCUUAUUGAGUUUAUCAACUUUAGUCUCUCUUAUCACCUUUUUAUACAAGUGAUCCAACAUAUGGUCCUCUCUAUAUAUGUAGAUGUGUAUGUAUGUGUAUGUGUAGUAUGAGUAUAUGUAUAUGUCCUAUGAUGUCCUUGCACUUGACUAUACCCCUUAACUCUAAUAUAUUACAUGCUAUUUUAAGAUUCUGUGUCACUAUGGAUGUGUGUAUGUGAAGCUUAUAUAAGCAUAAUAUAGUAUGCUGUGAAUGUAAUUAGUUAUCACCAUCUUCAUUUUUAUCAUUGAUUUAGACCAUGAUUAACCCCAGUCUCUUAACUGGGGUUCUUAGAUUCGGUUAAGAGACGGUUCUUAACUUUUCUUAGAUUUUAACUAAGAAAAACUAAGAACCGUCUCUUAAAUAAGAAAUAUAAGAGUCGUAUUUUAUCCGAAAAGUAUAAAAAAAAAAAAAACCAAAAAGUGUCAAGGGAGUUCCGAAUUCGAUUAAGCUAUCACAAACCCGAGGCACCAGUAAUCGAAACCCUAGAAGCCCAAAUCACGAUCUACAACGAGAGAAGAGAGAAAUUACUGAGCUCUAGGCUGAAAUUCAUUUACACCAGAGCCUGAUAACGAGCCCUAACUCGAGACACGAAACGAUCUGGCGAUGAAAGCGAAGGUCAACUGAUGAGAUAAUACGCCGUCACUGGAGAACCUAAUCGAGGAAAGUUUCUAGAAAUUCGCGGCGCUGAUCUUAAAUUCGGGAAGGCGGGAGAGGAUAACAGACGUCGAUGAUCGGAACC